rnacentral:lncRNA from 1 species
UAGAAGUUUGGAUGGAGUCUGGUUACUGUAGAAGUCUUGCUGCUGGAGAAGCCCGGACAUUGACGAAGUCCAGAAGAAGCUCGGAGUAAAGUCGAUCGUGAUAGGAGGAAGACUGGAAGAGAUUCGUAGAGUAGUCGAUCACUGUAGAAAAUCGGCUGAUAGUGAAGCCCAGAGAGCUUUUGGAGCAGUCCGAUGACGACUGAAGGAGCUCAUUAUUGGAGAAAUCUGGAGGGUACGAUAGGAGUUCGUCCAUUGGAGGAAUCUAGAGGACACUGUGGAAGGUCGACUGCUGGAGGAGUCCGGAUGGUACUGUGAAAGCUCGGACGGUCGGGGGAGUUCAGAAAGACACCGCAUA